rnacentral:rRNA from 1 species
GACGAACGCUGGCGGCGUGCUUAACACAUGCAAGUCGAACGGAAAGGCCCUGCUUUCGUGGGGUGCUCGAGUGGCGAACGGGUGAGUAACACGUGAGUAACCUGCCCUUGACUUUGGGAUAACUUCAGGAAACUGGGGCUAAUACCGGAUAGGAGCUCCUGCUGCAUGGUGGGGGUUGGAAAGUUUCGGCGGUUGGGGAUGGACUCGCGGCUUAUCAGCUUGUUGGUGGGGUAGUGGCUUACCAAGGGUUUGACGGGUAGCCGGCCUGAGAGGGUGACCGGCCACGUGGCCUCUGGGAUGCGGCCGAGGGGCAUAUGGGAGGAUGGGGGGGAGCAUGUUGCAGACAGGCCGGGUGCGUGAUGAAGGACCGCGGCUUGUGGAGUGCCGGUGUUGGGGUUGAAAACCGGUUGGGCAUUGGCCGGAGGGUGUGAGGGGGCACAGGGUAAAGACGCCGGGUAACAUCGCG